rnacentral:rRNA from 1 species
GACGAACGCUGGCGGCAGGCCUAACACAUGCAAGUCGAGCGGAGCGGCGGACGGGUGAGUAAUGCCUAGGAAUCUGCCCGGUAGUGGGGGAUAACGUCCGGAAACGGGCUCUAAUACCGCAUACUAUCAGAUGAGCCUAGGUCGGAUUAGCUAGCUGGUGGGGUAAAGGCCUACUAAGGCGACGAUCCGUAACUGGUCUGAGAGGAUGAUCAGUCACACUGGAACUGAGACACGGUCCAGACUCCUACGGGAGGCAGCAGUGGGUAAUAUUGGACAAUGGGUGAAAGCCUGAUCCAGCCAUGCCGCGUGUGUGAAGAAGGUCUUCGGAUUGUAAAGCACUUUAAGUUGGGAGGCGUUACCAGCAGAAUAAGCACCGGCUAACUUCGUGCCAGCCGCCGCGGUAAUAC